AAUGUUAAACGCGGACAAGUCACCUACGGCCCCUCUCGCAAGGACUCGAAAACCGUCUAAAAGGCUUCGAGAUUUCGCCUCGUCCUUCUUUUGUCUUCCGUUCUUAUCAACACGAUUUUUUUUUUCAUUUUUCUCUUCUCUCCGACUACGAUCCAGUUAAUCCGUAUCGGGAAAAUAUCUUAAACAUUAUAGGCCGCGAUCAUCAUUGCACUAUCGUGCGUAUGCUUUCUAUACACGGUCAUAACAGUGUACGAUACAAAUCGGUUUUCUUCUCCUCUCUACGUUUCCGACGGAGAACGGUUAAACCGUUUUUUCUUUCUGCACAGUCGUCUCGCAGUCCAUUCAAAGGCGAUUAUUUUACUUUGAUUACAAGCAGAGAUGGAGCACGCGCGAGUUCAUCUCUCGGAAAUGUAAUAGAUAAAUGUGGACUGGAAGGUGUGCAUGUAUUUAAAUAGGAUCCGGAUGCGUUUGUACUUCUUUUUCUGCUCAAUCCGAUCGUGAUCACGUUUACAGAUAUUCGACCCGAGUUGAAAAUCCCGAACAUUGAAUAAUAUUCAACGCGAUCGCACUCUUCCGAUCAUGGAGAAACUCGGAGUCUUGUUUGCGUGAUUUCAACCGGACAGAUGUUGGAUGAACGUGAUACGAUACGCAUCUGAUAAAGUUGCGUACUUUUUUCUAAGGGCAGUUCAAAUUUUUCUAAAAAAUAAGUACCAAAAGAAGGCCAUUCGAAGGAUUAUUAU